GCAAGUCGAACGAGAGAUGAGGAGCUUGCUCUUCAAAUCGAGUGGCGAACGGGUGAGUAACGCGUGAGGAACCUGCCUCAAAGAGGGGGACAACAGUUGGAAACGACUGCUAAUACCGCAUAAGCCCACGGCUCGGCAUCGAGCAGAGGGAAAAGGAGCAAUCCGCUUUGGGAUGGCCUCGCGUCCGAUUAGCUAGUUGGUGAGGUAAUGGCCCACCAAGGCGACGAUCGGUAGCCGGACUGAGAGGUUGAACGGCCACAUUGGGACUGAGACACGGCCCAGACUCCUACGGGAGGCAGCAGUGGGGAAUAUUGCACAAUGGGGGAAACCCUGAUGCAGCGACGCCGCGUGGAGGAAGAAGGUCUUCGGAUUGUAAACUCCUGUUGUUGAGGAAGAUAAUGACGGUACUCAACAAGGAAGUGACGGCUAACUACGUGCCAGCAGCCGCGGUAAAACGUAGGUCACAAGCGUUGUCCGGAAUUACUGGGUGUAAAGGGAGCGCAGGCGGGAGAACAAGUUGGAAGUGAAAUCCAUGGGCUCAACCCAUGAACUGCUUUCAAAACUGUUUUUCUUGAGUAGUGCAGAGGUAGGCGGAAUU
rnacentral:rRNA from 1 species